UGCCAUAUUGUAUAUCGUUAGCGUCAUAUGCUAUCACAAUAGCACUAAAAAAAAAAAAAACUACAAAUGUGAUUGGUAAAAUAUGUAUUCCACGAAAGGGUGACGAGGACUCGACACUCGUUCGUUAAAUUUGUUUUCCCCCCAAAAAAGGACAAAAUUACUUCUGCAGUUUAUCAGCAUAUGUAAAUAUUUUUUUCAUGUUUACAGUUCCCCCUCAACAUAACUCGCAUUAUGGAACUUCGUGACUUCGCCAUUACUGCCAUCGCAGGGUGUUCACGGUACGUAAUGUAGUACUGCACAUUCAUUUCUAUACAUUCAUAUAUUUUUUAUCCAAACGUACCAUUUUUGUUUCAAAAGUUGAAAAGUGUUGAAUUAUGUUUGUGUAAAGUGAGACUACAGAUUGAGAGUCAGGGUCUACGUUAAAAUAAAAGAUGGCAGUUACAUGAGGUUGGAAUAACGUAGAGUACAUUUCAUGCAAAGGCGGCGAGAGCAUGCAUAUUUUUGAACAUAUUUUUUAGGCGGUUUUCAGGUGAACUCCCUGCGAUAAAUGAAAUGAUGACGAUCUCGUCUCCGUUUACUCGCAAAUGUAAUCGGCGUUGAAUCCUUCUGUUCUUUCAAUUCAACAUUCUGUCAUUUUAGCAAAUCAAUCAUCUCAAUUCCGACGAGAGACGCGAGGGAGUGGACGCCGGACGCUGCGCCGUGCGGAUGCAAAAAAAAAAACAAAAACACCUGCGACCGGACCUCUCCCGAGCUCCGACUUCCGCGACGCUCCUUACUCCGCCGGUCCUCGGGAACGAUCUGCGAGCGGGUCAUCCGGCGGUGGCGAAAUCCGAGGGGCCCCGAUACUAUGCCGAGCACGCACGCGCCAGCGCCGGCAACUGUGGCGCCGCUUUGAUUGUGCAGAACGGCGGCAGGAAAGCGGACCGGCCAACAGGAGCCCGAUUGUUUUGUGCUCGGGCUCUUGGCUGACCCAACAACAACAACAACAGUGGGCGGCACAACAUUUGCGUGGGAUCGAUUCCUGCUCAGUGACGGAGUCGAUAUCUGCCCUGCGACUGACUGGCGACCAGUUCAGGGUGCCGUCCGCCUUUUGCCCGAAGCUAGCUGGGAAAGGCUCCAGCUUUCCCGCAACACUUGUGAGGAUAAGCGGCUUGGAUAAUGACAUAUGUGUGUAUAUAAAGGUGUCACUGUGUGUGUGUGUGUGUGGUACACACGCCUGACUUUGGUGCGUGCAGCGUGGGAUUGAUUCCCGCUCAGUGCUAGGUUCUCCCUCGUGAGGAUAAGCGCCUUCGGGGAGU